CUGAAAGGCAAGAGCAGCUUUCCUCCAGCUCAGAGCUGCUUUGGCCCCUCUGAAGUUCAGGCGUUCCUGUGAUCCUUGCUUUGGAGCAGCAGCAGGAGGAGGAUUAAAACUGCUUCUGUAUCAAAGCCAAGUAAUCCAAACCCAUCGCCUGCGACGCCUUCUUUCCAGAGCUAUGGAAAAAAAACGAGGCCUUGCAGGGGUUUGUGCUUUCUUGGAUCUUCCACCCCCUUGUAUUUAACCUCUGCUGCUUCAAGCACAAAGUAGGCCAGCUUUGCAGCUUGCCUGUUAAGCUGUUACACCCCCACAGAUAAGCAGCUGCCAGCCCCUGAGAGCAGAGCACCAGCCCCAGGAUAAACCAGCUCCCACUGAGAACAAAUACGGAGCUGCCUUGAUCCCGGAGCCAGACAAUGGGAGAGCUUUGCUCCUGUCCAUUCACCUUCGCCCUUAGGUUCUGCUCUGACUGGGAUGCCCAGAGGGACCCCAAAAAGACCCAGGACACCCGGAAAGUGAUAACUGCUCCCAUGGCACCCCCUCCAUCAGCAGAUGGCACCCCACGCUGCUCAGCCCUUAUCUGCAGGCAUUCUGCCAGUACCAGCAAGAACUGACUGAGAGCCCAGUCCUACCUUGCAGCAGGCUUAGCUGAACACAGCUGGAGAUUAGUGCCUGGCAAUCCUUGCAAGCACUCCCUGUUAUGUCUACCAGAGGAAAGCAAGCACAAAGGAAACCUCCUCACGGUCACGAGACAAGGAGCAGCUACUGUGUGCAAGUGGAAGAAUUCAGCAAAGUCCUCAUGGAGCAGAUGGAGAACAAAAAGCACCAGGAGUCAGGUUUUGGACUGAACAAACCGUGAGAAGAGAGACAAACAUGUACCUUUUAUUGUUUAUGUACAAAUGACAUCGGUUUGUAUUAAAAAGAGAAUCCACCCGAUCUCAAAGAGACAGCUUCAAGCUCCAGCCUUCCCUGCAUCUAAAAGCACUGUGUAGAUUUUAGGAGAUGGUGUUUAAAAUGAAAGAGAAAAUGGUUAACCACCUUCUUCUCUGCCUGACAAAGAACCAAAAGGAGCUGUUCCUGCCACUCUACAUCGAUUAAACCAAAGAAACCAAAAGUCCAUUUGUUAACUAUACACGUGGCUGUAAAAAAAAUACCCCCACAACAGAACCAACAAAACCAAAACUACAAAGCUAAGUAUCAGCAACAAAAGUAAUCUAAGUCUUAGCAACAUGGAUGGGCCACACUGAAUCACAGCCCACUUCCAGUGGAAAAAGAAAUACCUCUCCGUGGGUUUGCAGAUGACAGGGGUGGCAGCAGCAACAACAUCAGCCCGUUCUAGGAAGUUCCCAACUGAGGUGGAAGCACAGAAUGGCCAGGAAUUCAGGACUACCACUGCUACUACACCUUAGUCUUCCUGCAACUCAGGUGAUGUAUAAAUGAUGCAAAGUACAUGGUCCAAGAUUUCCUCCCCCCAUCUAAGUUCUUUAGAGUGAGCCACUCCCAUCUGCAGACACUUGGCCAGGGAGCUGCCAUCAUGCUCAUUCAGUCGACUGGCAUUUUCUCAGUGGGGAUUCACGCAGACCUAAAUCCCAGAAGCAUCAGCACUGAUGAGUCUAGUAGUCCUGCAGAGAAAGGAAAGGGUGGGCACAUUAACACCUUUCUACCUUCAGUUCUGCUCGCAGAGCUGGGAUUCUCAGUCUUCUCUCAUUUCUACACACCAUUAGUUGCAGGCAAAACAUGUAGCUAAACAUUCAAAAGAAAGGACCCUUCAAAACCUUAGUUCAAGAACACAGCAGCUCAAACCAGAUGCUUCUAAUGUUCCAGAUCAUGACAAGGCAACAGGACGCAAAACAGUUUUCUGCAUGAGAAGUGCACAGGAUUAACUGGGACCUGGCUUCAUAACAAGCCUACCUGGGCUUAUUUACUGUUACAUCCACAAGACAAUGCUUAGCUCAUACCGUGAUUCUCCUCAACCAUGAAAAUAAGGUCUUAAAUUACAGCAGAGGGAGGCUUUUUAAGAUUAGGAGUCAGUCAACCACUCAAGUCUACAGAUGAGCAAUGAAAACAAUGACAGAGCACUGAUACUUACGGCUCUUGGCUUUUUGUUUAACUUGAGAUCAAUCCUGUGGUUGGAAAGAUAAGAGAAAUGUCCAUUUCAAUACAUUAAACCAACACUAGCGUUCAAAGAACCAGCUACUGCAUAUGGCACAGGCUACAACAAAGACUAUUUGGUUAAUUCAAUCCACAUUCUCAAUUGGGCUGAGCCAAAUCACUGUCCCAGUAUUACUGGACAAGAGAACAGCAAAGAGACAGAGAGUGGAUUCUUUCUUAUUUGCCAAAAUGCAUAUUGUGUCCACUCAAAACAGGAGUUAAUACAAGGUUCAUAACCAAAAUCACAGGGAAGUUAUGCAGCAUAAAGAAAUGAGGUUAAACACGCAUGCUCUAUGUUAAUUUGUUAGAUGUGUAACUAUGCCACAGGUAAUUAUUCAGACAUAGUGGUAAUGGUUAUUUACUUGGGAUACAGAUAGGAGUUUAGGAUGAGCAGGGAUUAUAUGAGUCAAAGGGAUGGAGUUUGAUUACAUUUUUCCAGAAGGAAAUAUCCAAUCUACACUCAUCUCCUUCAGAAGCAAAGCCGGAAGAAUCAGGUUUUAAACUACGGGUUUAAGUUAAAAAGUUUGCUCUAUUUUAAGUAAAAAAAAAUGAAAUAGAAAAGUAAAGGAGAGUGAAGUUAAUUGAAUUUUGCUGAAGUUAUUAAAUAAAAUGUUACCUCCAUCA